UACGGGGGGGGCAAGCGUUGUUCGGAAUUACUGGGCGUAAAGGGCGCGUAGGCGGUUUGCUAAGUUGGACGUGAAAACUCUGGGCUUAACCCAGAGCCUGCAUCCAAAACUGUCAAGCUAGAGUCUGGAAGAGGAGAGCGGAAUUCCCGGUGUAGUGGUGGAAUGCGUAGAGAUCGGGAGGAACACCAGUGGCGAAAGCGGCUCUCUGGUCCAAAACUGACGCUGAGGGGCGAAAGCGUGGGGAGCGAACGGG
rnacentral:rRNA from 1 species